rnacentral:lncRNA from 1 species
AUAAAAGUCCUAACCACAAACACAAAUCUAAUUUGACUAUAAUUUAAAAUACCAAAUAUCAAAAAGACCUAAAACAAUUAAAAUCUAGAAUAGUCUUUUUAAUCUAUUCUUAAUAGACGAAGCCUUUAUAUAUUUAUUCUAAAAUUCAUUCCCAAUCGAUAUGAGAUAUUGUCUAUAACACCCCAACAGUUAUUAUGUAGACCAGUCUUUUUACUUGAUCCUGGUCACAUGAUAAGGUGCAUAAUGUGAGCCCACUCGUGCAUGUAUUUGUUCUGAUACCAUAUAACCAUACUUAAAAACUAUCUUAGGCGUUAAGGGUUAUCUUAAGUUUAUGUAUUAAACUAGUAAUUAUUCUUGGUAUCAAAGGAUAUUUUAACUUAAAAUUCAUUCUCAAUCCAUGCGGAAUAUUGUUCUUAAGACUUCUAUCAAUGAAUUUCAUCUAUUUUGAUGAAGAUAAAUGCAUAAUAACACAAAAGUGUACGGUACGCGUUAAUAUUGAGAAUGUGUUUUUUAUAUUUUACUUUCCGUAGUCAUUUAUUUACGAUCUGUAACUUACGCGAGAAAACUCUUGGCUAGCUUUUCCUUUAAAAAUUUUGUCACUUUGGUUUACUCAGUGGAAAAAUGUUUACUACGAACAAUGAGAUUCUUGAAUCUCUUCUUCUACGUAUCUACGAUAUUUCACAUUCGCGAAACGUUUUGCUUUGAAUCAAAUUAAUGGCAUUGAAUACUUUAGACUCUAUUCGAUCUCUGAUAUUUAAACAAAAAAAAAAGGAAAAAAUCUAACAGAAAGUUUAUAGAAAUAGAGGUACCAUUUCCGCGAGUUAUUAUGUUAAUUGAAAAUAAUCAAUUGACACGAUAAUCCCACCCAAAUUUAUAACUACUUCUGUCAACGCUCUCUGUUAGCCUUAAGGUUCAUUAGUAUUUUUCUUUACUAUCUAUAUUGGCAGCAACCAUGCAUUGUCACAAGCCAACUUCUAUAAGCAUUCAAGAAUAACCCUUUCCCACUUGGGGGGAAAAAAUUGUUUGAUUAGUUACAUCGUUUCAUAAUAACUGAUCACCUUCUUUCGGUGCACUUAUGUACAGGCUAAUUAAUGAUACAAAUUAAAAUAUCAAGGUUAAUAAGUAAGCGGUGCGAUGAACAGGAAUCUUAUCCAUCACCUUAAUUUUGUGAUAUUAUUUAAAUUGAACAUUUACCCAACUUGGUGAGUGCUGGUGGGACGUGCUUUGACAUUUUUGGCACAUCCUGACUUUAAAAUUAAAUUAUCCAACUUCUUAUGAACUGGAUUGACAAACUGAGAUUAAAAUAUCUUGUGGGGUAACAUUUCGAAGCAAAAUGCCAUAAUUUAUGUUAAGAAUAUUGUUAUCGGAACAUCAAAAAUAAAAAUAUAUGUAGUGUAUUAUAUAGUAAUCUGGAUAAGGUGAUUGUUGGUGACUGUGGGGUUGAUAUAUAGAUUGUUAUUUUUCCUUAUUAACACAGAAUAAAAAUGUUUCAAUUCGAAAAAAGAAAGUAAAAAAAAAAAAAUUCAUUAUGCUGUCUCUUACUAUAUGAAAUCAUAAUUGGUCUCUGUCUUACUUUUCAGUGAUGUAUAGAUUGUUAUUUUUCCUUAUUAAUACAGAAUAGACGGGUUUCUUGAAUUCGAAAAAGAAAGUAAAAAUAAAUAAAUAAAUCAUUAUGCUGUCUCUUACUAUAUGACAUCAUAAUUGGUAGUCUCUGUCUUACUUUUCAGUCGACAUGAAAUUUAUCUUUCAAGAAAUUGAAUAUUUUUUUUGAAGUUUUUGAAUUUUGAAUCCAUCUACAUAUUUUUUAUUGAAUCUGUUAGUAAAGUCUGACAAUUAAGUUACUACAUAAUUUUUCACGACGUCCCAUUAAAUCAAAUACUUGUUUUAUUGCAACUUGUGCAUGUGCAUGUGCAUGUGCUUUAGUAGUACAUGAAAGUUUCUAACUUAUAUAGAUAUUUUGUGAGAAAAUGACCUCCUUGAUCUUUUUAUGUGUUGAUUAUGGUGGAUAUUUAUGAUCCUUUUACCAGUCACAAAGAUUAAAAUUACAUCUCUCUAUCCAUCUCUUUCUCUUGACUCCAAGCGACUUGUUCUUUUCUUUUUUUCAUUUUUUUCAUGCUUUUACUCUCUGUCCUUCCAAUUCAUGUGAAAGAAUACUCAAAUUUUGUGGUGGUUAUCAUUUUCAACAGAUAAGCCAUUUUGUUGUCAGAGCUAACUUAAACGGUGUAGAUCGAUGUAAAGAGUUGAAGAGAAUUUUCCUAGUGCAUAAAAUUAUUGUGUGCACAUUAUCUCGUGAAUUUUUUUUUUCUCACUAAUCAUCCGUAUAAAAUGGCUUGACAUUUAAAAAAGAUUUUACUUGAGACAUUAAAUUAAUUAGAAUUCAAUUGUUGAAAUCUUUAAUAUUUUAACAAAAGGAAAAUGUCAGUUGAUCUCAAUCCUCGUAAUACUGACAGUUACAAAUUAAAAAUGAUAGUCUUAAUAUCUAAGCAGUUUGAUGAACAUGACUCCUAACCCAUCACCUUAAUUUGUGACAUUGAUUAAAUAAUUAGAAGAUUAAUUCAACUUGGUGAGUGCUGGUGGGUGGUUUGACACAUACUUUGCCUUUAAAUUAGCCAACUUGUUGUGAAUUGGAUUGACACAGUAAAGUAGAGAUGAAAAUCUAUAGUAGGUAACUCUUCACUUUUCAGGGCAAAAAGUUAAAUUUUAUUUUAUUUUAAUGUUAAGAUUGUUAUGAAAGCUUCAAAAAGUAUAUGAAUUGAAUAAUAUAAUUAAUCUAGAUAAGGUAAUUGGUGAUGAAUGUGGGGUUAAUUGAUUGAUUUUGCACUAAUUAUAUUUUGAAACAUUUUAUUUUAUUUUUUUUUAACAGUCAUUAUGUUGUCUCCUACAUUGUCUUUUCAAUGCUUUUGAUAUUUUACAAAACUUUUUGGUUUUACAUAUUUCUUUUCUUU